CGAUCUUUCAAUUUCUAUGCCGCAAAGAAUUGCAGAAAUUCCUUUCAAAAAAAAAAAGAAUUGCAGAAAUUUGUAGGAUAGCUACACAGCACAGCCCAGUGGUCGUGGUAUUCAAAUAUACGAGAUUUGGGUUCGGCUUGUUCACAGUGAGGGAAAGGUUGAGGGCACGACGCUGAGGAACUUUCAGGCGCCGGUGGAAGCAAGGCUGUGGUUAGGCAGCUUCAUAAAGGUAUUAACUUGCUUCAAUUACCCGACAGAUUUGACCGUCCAAAACCGAGCAUUGUAAUAAGCUUAUCCUCAUCGUUGAUGCUUCUCUGUUUGUGUAGAAUUUGACAUUUUGACAUGCUUUUGAGAUUUUAGUUUUACAUGAUUGUGCUAUAAUGAACUUGGAUUAAGUGAAUGUUUUGGUGGUUGUGACUCAGACAUUGGGUCACCCCUUCAUCGCCGCCGUUGCAGUUUGAGGGUAACGAUUAGUUAAGCAAAAGCUUUACUCUGACUCAUAUUUCUUUUUGUAUUAAUUGAGCUAAAGCGUAGGUAGAUCACUGUUGGCAGCAGCCCAAAAAUUGAAAACAAUAUCAAAGAUUAUGGUUGAUCCUUAGUAGUUCAUUGCGAAUAAUUGUAAUGGGUUGAGUUUUUUUUUUCCGUUUUCUUUUGGUUCCAACAAACUGUAAUGGGUUGACUGCAAUAUCAAAUAUGGUAAAAUAGUGAAAUGAAGACAAAGAAAAUCAUUAUUUAGUUGAGUUUGCUAUAUCAACACGCACAAUGAUACUUGCAUAGGUGUUUAGAGGACCAGAUGUACGGCCAUUUUUACUAUAUGUCCGGUCACGCAAUGGUGUUGAAUAGGGUUGUAGGGUCGACUAUUCUAACUGUAUUAAGAGAAGAAAUUUCAGACAAAAUCCAACCAGCGCAAGAAAUUGGGGCUCUGCUGAGUGCGUGUAAAUAUUACAUAUCUAGUAUCUAUAGUCUUGAAUUUCCUCGUAGAUCUGAAUUUUUUUUAUCAGUUUUAAAUUUCUGGCUAAAAGUUUAUCCUAAUUUUAACUCAGAAAAAUGGUUACUACCAAGGCAAUGUAAACAUAGAAGGUUGUUGCCAGAUAAUCUGGUAUGUGCUAACAACUUACUGACCUGGUUUGAUUGGAUACAUGUAUAUGAGCAUGUUUGAUUUUGAGGAUUUUUUUCAUUUUGCUUGCUUCACAUUUAGCAAUUGUAAUAGAUAAAUCUGGCUGAAGUACAAUGGAGGUUUUGCUGAUAUGUGACCAACCAUUAAAGUGAAUACAACCUUAUAUAUAGAGGCUGUAAUUUCAGCAUUAUCAAGGGGUUAAGCAAACCGCAGCUGAAGAGAAUCUUCAGGAAAGCUAGACCACAUUAUUGUGAAAACAAGUGUUUGAAGUUGCCCUUGAAGAGAUAUCAGUCAUGGAUUGUCAACUAAUCCGUUUGAUCCAAAUGCAAUGGAUAAAGUUUAAAUGUUGUAUUCAUGCUACCUGAAGGACAACUUAAAAAGAUUGGAGAAAGAGGGAAAGGAGAAGACUGCUGGAGCCUGGAGGUUAAAAGGUGGUAGUUUGCGUAUGCAUCUUGAUUGCUGGAAGACCCCACUCCCUUCCUGAAUUUGUUUUUGCAGGAGUCUUAGUUUAAUCAUUCUAUUUGUUAAAACAAUCUCAUUCCUUUCAAAAAUAGAUGCGAUGUCAGUUGUAUAGUAUAAUAAAGUGAACUCAUGUUAUGGGUUUAAGAUAUGUAACCAGCCAAUCAAGAUCCAAUGUGUUUUUAGUGUAGAAGUUGCAAUUCAAAAGUAUUUUGUCUUUGAUAGAGCUCUUGUAAACUCCAGUUAUUAUUUUUGCAGUUCAUUCCACGUAAUCUAAUGUGAAAAGAGUGUGCCUAUUUGC